rnacentral:misc_RNA from 1 species
GAUGAAGAACGCAGUGAAAUGCGAUAAGUAAUGUGAAUUGCAGAAUUCAGUGAAUCAUCGAAUCUUUGAACGCACAUUGCGCCCGCCAGUAUUCUGGCGGGCAUGCCUGUUCGAGCGUCAUUUCAACCAUCAAGCCCCCGGCUUGUGUUGGGGACCUGCGGCUGCCGCAGGCCCUGAAAACCAGUGGCGGGCUCGCUAGUCACUCCGAGCGUAGUAAUACAUCUCGCUCAGGGCGUGCUGCGGGUUCCGGCCGUUAAAAAAGCCUUAUUUACCCAAGGUUGACCUCGGAUCAGGUAGGAAGACCCGCUGAACUUAAGCAUAUCAAUAAGCGGAGGA